rnacentral:rRNA from 1 species
GAUGAACGCUAGCGGCAGGCUUAAUACAUGCAAGUCGUGGGGCAGCAGGGUUGUAGCAAUACAAUCGCUGGCGACCGGCAAACGGGUGCGUAACACGUACGCAACCUUCCCGUUACUGGGGAAUAGCCCAGGGAAACUUGGAUUAAUACCCCAUAUUAUAUUGGUCAGGCAUCUGACUGAUAUCAAAGCUUCGGCGGUGACGGAUGGGCGUGCGGUUGAUUAGGUAGUUGGCGGGGUAACGGCCCACCAAGCCUACGAUCAAUAGCUGAUGUGAGAACAUGAUCAGCCGCACGGGCACUGGGACACGGGCCCGACUCCUACGGGAGGCAGCAGUAAGGAAUAUUGGGCAAUGGACGCAAGUCUGACCCAGCCAUGCCGCGUGAAGGAUGAAGGUCCUCUGGAUUGUAAACUUCUUUUAUCUGGGGCGAAAACCGGCUAUUCUUAGCCGUUUGACAGUACCAGAGGAAUAAGCACCGGCUAACUCCGUGCCAGCCGCCGCGGUAAAAC